CGCAGAACCUUACCAGCCCUUGACAUACGGUCGCGGACACAGAGAUGUGUCUUUCAGUUCGGCUGGACCGGAUACAGGUGCUGCAUGGCUGUCGUCAGCUCGUGUCGUGAGAUGUUGGGUUAAGUCCCGCAACGAGCGCAACCCUCGCCCUUAGUUGCCAGCAUUUAGUUGGGCACUCUAAGGGGACUGCCGGUGAUAAGCCGAGAGGAAGGUGGGGAUGACGUCAAGUCCUCAUGGCCCUUACGGGCUGGGCUACACACGUGCUACAAUGGUGGUGACAGUGGGCAGCGAGCACGCGAGUGUGAGCUAAUCUCAUAAAACCGAUCGUAGUCCGGAUCGCAGUCUGCAACUCGACUGCGUGAAGUCGGAAUCGCUAGUAAUCGUGAAUCAGAAUGUCACGGUGAAUACGUUCCCGGGCCUU
rnacentral:rRNA from 1 species